UCCUCUGGCGGUCCUACCCAAUUAAACUCCCUAAAGCAGAAGAAGCGACUGGAUACUUUAGCAUGGUUGAGUUGUGGGAUCAUCCACGGAAGACAGAUCCACAGGGUUAUAUCAUCCACUCGCAAGGCAGAGGCAAAGGCACUAUAGCACCGGCGCUGGUCGCGCUAGCCGCGCUAACAGCGCUAGCCGUGCUAGCAUCCUGGGCUGGCAGAGAAGAUGUGCUCGUUGUUGUGGAUCUCAGCUCUCCUUCAUCUCCUGGUUGCAGCGAUGACUCUGAGACCGUUCGUGCACGUUAAAGCUAAAGAUGAAACAAAUGCCCAGUCAUGUCCAUUUCAUCUCCUCCUGGCUCCGUUCCCACCCUUAUCCUCCUUCUCCACCCCCGGCAGGCUUUGACAAGAGAAUACCAGGGCCUAUUGCUGUGUCGUUGACGAGGUAUACAGGCUAUUCAAUGAUUGGUGACACAUACGAUCGUCGUCUUCAAAGCCGUGAAAGGUGGAGGUGUCGCUCUCCGAGGUGGUGCCGAACAGCUCCUCUGCUCCAGUAAAAGUCCCAUCUUCCUUCUCUUCUCCACGGUCAGCUGGCACACGGGACAGCAGAGGAACAGAGUCGGUGCACAGGUGAUGGAUAACAAGCGAGAGCACCAUCAUGAGGCAAGAGCAUCCAUUUCUUCCCACCAUACAUUACUACCCAUCCACACACUUUGUAUUAGUUUGGAUGGAAAAGUUAUGUAUUGUAUGUAUAUUAUACUUUGGUGUACUCACUUUUGCAUUGGCAGGUUGAGUAGGGAGAUCCAGAUUUACCCGUUUUCUUGAUCGAGCCCUGGCAUUUAUUACAGUAGUUGUUGGAAAUAUUGGUCCCACCUGGACCCUUUGGACCUACAGGGAAAUUUAAAAAAAAGUUACAGCUGAGCAUGUCAAACCUUUUCCAUACAAUACUUUGUAUUCUGGUACAAAAAUAAGUAUUGGUUGUGUAGAUGCAAUGUUUUGUAGAUUAUUUCUCUAAUUUGAAUGUAAGAUGUUUUCUAUUUUGACUUUGUGCUUGUCGAUUUCUUGAUUAUGAGGAAAUGUUUUUUGGUGUUUUCUUGGCUUUUUUCUUGGAGUGGCCUCAGAUGGAUCACUUUGAUUUUUAAUACCUGUCCCA